AUACUUACUUGGCAGGGGAGACACCAUGACCACGAAGGUGGUUCUCCAGGGCGAGGCUCACCCAUUGCGCUGUGGGGUGUGCUGAUCCCUGCGAUUUCCCCCAAAGGAGGAAACUCGACUGCGUAACUUGUGGAAAUGGGGGACUGCGUGCGGUCAUGCUCUCCCCUG